rnacentral:rRNA from 1 species
CCUACGGGAGGCAGCAGUGCGGAAUAUUGGUCAAUGGCCGUAAGGCUGAACCAGCCAAGUAGCGUGAGGGAAGACUGCCCUAUGGGUUGUAAACUUCUUUUAUGCGGGGAUAAAGGUGUCCACGUGUGGAUGUUUGCAGGUACCGCAUGAAUAAGGCCCGGCUAAUUCCGUGCCAGCAGCCGCGGUAAUACGGCGGGUCCGGGCGUUAUCCGGUGUUAUUGGGUUUAAAGGGAGCGGAGGCCGGUCCUUAAGCGUGCCGUGCAAUUUUGUGGCUCAACCCUGAGAGUGCUGCGCGAACUGGAGACCUUGAGUGCGGGGAAGGCAGGCGGAAUUCGUGGUGUAGCGGUGAAAUGCUUAGAUAUCACGAAGAACCCCGAUGGCGAAGGCAGCCUG